CUUGGAGUUCAUUUCUGUUCCUCUCUCUUUCUGGGGAGCGUCUGCUAGGAAUAAUGGAAUAAUGAGGAAAGAGAGGUCAGAGACGAGAAGGUGAUGAUGUUUGACUGAAGGAGAAUAAAGAGCAAAUAAACUUCAGAGUAGAGUGGGCCCAUUCCAAGAUGAUCUUUUGGAAGAGGACCAAACCCAGAGGCAUGCACUCAGUUGUGCCAGAAUCAUCUUUCACAUUCUACAGAAGUCACAGAAGCCAACACACAACUCCAGAGUUAAACAUAUUAAACCCCUGUCAUCAGAGAGAACUUUCAAAAAAUCUUGAGAUGGGACCCAUUGGCUCAGACUGAGUCAGAUGUCUACCCUUGGACCAAUCAACUGUGGUCUCUGUGAAUGUAGGCUACUAUUAUUGCCCUAUUUGAGUUUUCUUCCCACUCAUGAGCCAAUCAACUCUAGACAGAAAAGGGAAUGAUCUGAAGCUUGGAAGUUCUCACAGGAACCCUAUAAAUGAAGAAGAGGACAGGACAUGUUUUAAGACAAAGAAAAACGCUAUGCAACCAAAAUACAUCUACUACAAUAACAGUGAUUAUUAAAAAGUCAUUUAAUUUCUCUAAGCCUCAAUUUUCUCUUCUCUAAAAGUGUAUGAAUUGUCUAUUGCUAUGGAUAUGUAUCAAAUAAGAUACUUUAAAAGUUUUAAAUGACAAACUUCUAUACAGUUCUAAAAGGUUGCUCUGAUUAUUACACUGGUGUCACCAAAGUGGUUUCUAGAUUCUAUUUCUGCAGAGCUUUCAUUUGUAAAAUUGGAAUGAUUUUCUCUACUUUUUAUGGUUAUGGACUAAUUAAAGAGAAAUAUCUACCAUUUAUUUAUUGAUGGUUUAAUAUAUAUUAUGGUAGGAGGUUUGCACAUAUUUCCUUUUUUAAUUUUCACCACAGUCCUAUAAACUAGAUAGUCUUACCAAGCAUACUGUAAUGUAAACAGGUUAAGAUGAUUAAGUUCCUAACAUGAAUUAGUGUCAGAGAGAGGAUUUAAAUCAGGUCUGAGUGAUUCCGUGAUUCCAAAGGCAAGGUGGGGAUUUUAAAGAGCCAUACAAUAACACUCUUAUGUGUUAUAAUUUUAUUGUUCAUUUUUAUAAUUCAAUUAUAAUUGGUUUAUUUCUGAGCUAGUUUCCUUAAAAUUUUUAAUAUUUUGCCAUUACAUUUUUAAUGACCUAGUGAUUAUAUUAAAAAUCCUAUCUUUUAUGAAGAUAUAAUGAUGCCAUACUGUGGAUUUGCCAAGUGAUGCUCUACUACUUGUUGGGAGAAAUUAAAAUUUUAAUUCUGAAUGAGAAGCUUGAUAUUUGUAAACAAUUGCAAGAAGAGA
rnacentral:lncRNA from 1 species